rnacentral:rRNA from 1 species
UACGGGGGGGGCAAGCGUUGUUCGGAAUUACUGGGCGUAAAGGGCUCGUAGGCGGCCAACUAAGUCAGACGUGAAAUCCCUCGGCUUAACCGGGGAACUGCGUCUGAUACUGGAUGGCUUGAGUUCGGGAGAGGGAUGCGGAAUUCCAGGUGUAGCGGUGAAAUGCGUAGAUAUCUGGAGGAACACCGGAGGCGAAGGCGGCAUCCUGGACCGACACUGACGCUGAGGAGCGAAAGCCAGGGGAGCAAACGGG